UACGUAGGGGGCUAGCGUUGUCCGGAAUCAUUGGGCGUAAAGAGCGCGUAGGCGGCCAGAUAAGUCCGGUGUGAAAGUCAAAGGCUCAACCUUUGAAUGCCGCUGGAAACUGUCUGGCUAGAGUCCGGGAGGGGCGAGUGGAAUUCCUGGUGUAGCGGUGGAAUGCGCAGAUAUCAGGAGGAACACCGAUGGCGAAGGCAGGUCUCUGGGCCACUACUGACGCUGAGACACGAAAGCGUGGGUAGCAAACAGG
rnacentral:rRNA from 1 species